GGGGAAGUAACUCAGUGGUAGAGUGUCUGACUGAAGAUCAGAUGGUCGGCAGUUCAAUUUUGCCUUUCCCCA
rnacentral:tRNA from 1 species